rnacentral:SRP_RNA from 1 species
GCCAGGCAUAGUGGCGAGUGCCUGUAAUCCCAGCUACUCAGGAGGCUGAGGCAGGAGAAUCGCUUGAGCCUGGGAGGCAGAGGUUGCAGCGAGCUGAGAUCACACCUCUGCACUCCAGCCCAGGCAACAGAGUGAGACUCCGUCUCAA